GACGAACGCUGGCGGCGUGCUUAACACAUGCAAGUCGAGCGGUAAGGCCCCUUCGGGGGUACACGAGCGGCGAACGGGUGAGUAACACGUGAGCAAUCUGCCCAUCACAUCGGGAUAACUCCGGGAAACCGGAGCUAAUACCGAAUACAACCACCUCAGACAUCUGACGGUGGUGGAAAGUUCCGGCGGUGAUGGAUGAGCUCGCGGCCUAUCAGCUUGUUGGUGGGGUAACGGCCUACCAAGGCUUCGACGGGUAGCCGGCCUGAGAGGGUGACCGGCCACACUGGGACUGAGACACGGCCCAGACUCCUACGGGAGGCAGCAGUGGGGAAUAUUGGACAAUGGGCGAAAGCCUGAUCCAGCAACGCCGCGUGAGGGAUGACGGCCUUCGGGUUGUAAACCUCUUUCAGCAGGGACGAAGCGCAAGUGACGGUACCUGCAGAAGAAGCACCGGCCAACUACGUGCCAGCAGCCGCCGUAAAAC
rnacentral:rRNA from 1 species